rnacentral:tRNA from 1 species
GCCUGGUUGGCUCAGUUGGUGGAGAGUGCAACCCUUGAUCUCGAUCUCGGGGUUGUGGGUUUGAGUCCCACACUGGGUG